GGUGGCAGAAUAGGGUAAGAUGAAGUGGUAAAAAUGUACAACUUUCAAAUAUAAAUAAAUCAGAAGUACUUGUAAAAAAAUAAAUAUCACUGAGUUUAUAUGGUGAUUUCCACAGGCAGGAUGCUAGAGAUUUGUUGGCAUUCAGUUACAGAUCUCAGGUUGGAUUCUUAUUCCAGAAUUAGCACUAUAUUUGUGAGAACUGUUACUAAGAGUUGGUGUUAAUGAAGAGUCCAGCAGAUGGUGGUGUGUAGCUGCAGAAUGAUUGGAGCAGACAUUAGACUAUUCAGACCUUUGCUUUCUGGAAGAAUCUGAAGGAAAUGCUGAAGCUGGAUCAGGAUCGCUCUUCCAAAUAAAGUAAAAUGGGGGACUGCAUCCUGGAAUCUCUGGAGUUACCCUGCUAUGCUGCUGUAGAGGUCAGAGAGUCAAAUCCUUUAACAUCUACUGGGAAAUUCAUCUGGGUUUUUAAUUAGCUAGGAAGACUUUUUCCACAGUAUUCUUUACUGAAAAAAAAUGAAUCAUUUAUUUAAUAACAAAAAUACACAUAUUUGGCUACCUUUACUUAUUCUAAAUAAACAUGCUGUUAUCAGGA